rnacentral:rRNA from 1 species
UACGAACUGUGCGAACGUUAUUCGGAAUCACUGGACUUACAGGGUGCGUAGGCGGCUCAACAAGUCAGGUGUGAAAGCCCCCGGCUCAACCGGGGAACUGCGCUUGAAACUGUUAGGCUCGAGUCAGCUAGAGGUACACGGAACUUCCAGUGGAGCGGUGAAAUGUGUUGAUAUUGGAAGGAACACCGGAGGCGAAAGCGGUGUACUGGGGCUGGUCUGACGCUGAGGCACGAAAGCCAGGGGAGCGAACGGG